UGGGGAAUUUUGGACAAUGGGCGGAAGCCUGAUCCAGCAAUGCCGCGUGUGUGAAGAAGGCCUUCGGGUUGUAAAGCACUUUUGUCCGGAAAGAAAUCCUUGGCUCUAAUACAGUCGGGGGAUGACGGUACCGGAAGAAUAAGCACCGGCUAACUACGUGCCAGCAGCCGCGGUAAUACGUAGGGUGCAAGCGUUAAUCGGAAUUACUGGGCGUAAAGCGUGCGCAGGCGGUUUGCUAAGACCGAUGUGAAAUCCCCGGGCUCAACCUGGGAACUGCAUUGGUGACUGGCAGGCUAGAGUAUGGCAGAGGGGGGUAGAAUUCCACGUGUAGCAGUGAAAUGCGUAGAGAUGUGGAGGAAUACCGAUGGCGAAGGCAGCCCCCUGGGCCAAAUACUGACGCUCAUGCACGAAAGCGUGGGGAGCAAACAGGAUUAGAUACCCUGGUAGUCCACGCCCUAAACGAUGUCAACUAGUUGUUGGGGAUUCAUUUCCUUAGUAACGUAGCUAACGCGUGAAGUUGACCGCCUGGGGAGUACGGUCGCAAGAUUAAAACUCAAAUGAAUUGACGGGGUCAUAGCUGUUUCCU
rnacentral:rRNA from 1 species